GAGAGAGAGGGGGUUAGGGGAAGAUGACGCCGACAUCGUCGCCGGUUAAGGCCGCAGAGAGUCAUCAAAGUCCACUACGCGGUGGAAAUAGACGUAUCGAUCGUAGAAAUGAAAUGGACACCACACUUUUCCGUUUCAUUUAGGACAGAAAUGAAAGAACUCAUCACAUGAAAGAAAGUUGCUUGGAACAUAGCACCAAGGUGAAAUCACCUUUCGUACCGCCCGCACGACGACGACGACGACGACGAGGUGGAGUAUGGCCCCAACCGUUGCCGCUAGCCCAGGUAGACACCGCCGCCGGCGUUGAUGUUUCGGCUGUCGUGGAUGGUCAGGUUGGAGCGGCACGACCGGCGGUGGGACGGGUCGUUGCGGAGGAGGAGGGGUGUCGAGAAGUAGUGGCGGUUGCGGUGGCGGAGGAGAAGGGGCGUCGAGAAGCGGUCGCGGUCGCGGUCGUACAUGUACGACCGCGAGACGGCGGCGCUGUGGUGGUUGGAGUGGCGUACGUGUCUCACGGAGUUGAGGCGCAAUUUAAUGCGCGACUUUUACACGGGCUUGUCGUCCUGGCGUUGUCAGAUGAAGCUGAUGCUGCUCCAUUUGCGCGAAGCUGGUCCGACGGAGGAACCUAAGAGGCUGCUGCCGUCGAAGGAGUCGGGCCGCAGGCCGUGAUGGCCCUUGCCAUGGAAUAAGGUCAUAAAAUCGUGCCGCUUGUAGGCGCCGUUGCUGCCACAGCAGCGACUACGGCAGUCCCUCGAGGACUCCGUCUGCCGUGUCCUGCGCCGGUGGUGCCGCUCCUCCAAGCGGUGUCGCAAGUACCUGAGGUAACCGGCGCCGUGGUGCUGUUGCGAGAUGAGGGACCGCGUCACGUGCGGCCUGGACAGGUGACCGAUGACGGACCGCACGGAGCUCGUCGAGGACCCGUGGCAGUGGUGGUGGUUGAGGAACGCGGAUCCUCCUGCCUAGAAGGACGAGGCGACGUUGCAGUCCAAGCUCCGCAAGUACAAGAAGCUGCUGUUUUUGUAUGCCGCCUAAGGUAGAGGUAGUAAGGAGCGAGUCCGUGGCCGCCGCGGAUGCCGAUGUCGUCCGUUCUGAGGUCAUCGCGAUCGACGAGAGACGAAGUAGGAAAUGGUACCAACCGUAGAAUCUUGUUUCCCGUGUUUUCUAUUUCCCUGCUGCAACGUUCCUUUCUGAUGAGUGCUCAAAGUUCUUUCUCUACUUGAUCAAACCCUUUACCUUUGUCUCAACCGACUCAAACGUCAUAAACUGAAAGUAGUCUAUAAUCUCCGAUGUCAAUUGAAAAGGCUCCUUUUGUUCGAACCGGUUCCACCUAAACCGGGACAAAUAUUCCCGGUAAAUGGACUGCCUUUACUCUAUCGUCACUUCUCUGAACUAAGUGUAAGUGUUGUUCCAAAGUAACUCAAGUUUUUACUUCAACUCGAGUAUCGCUUUGAAGUUGUGUCUUUAAACCAAUCCGAGUACCCUACAACGAGAGUUCCUCUCCUCUUUUAUGACCAGAUGCUUAUGAACAGUUUAUUUUCGAACCUGAAGAAGUAGAAACUACUUUUAUCUUUUCGUGAUGACCUGACCCUGUAUGCAGAACGUUAUUAACACCCCUAUCGUCUUCCUGAAGAAAUGGAAGUAUUCGUGAGAUCCAACGUACAAUAUGUAGCUCUAGAAUUUGGUUCGUUGUAAGAGAACCUAUCGCUUUACUUACGUUUUUAAAGUCUAAAACCUGAUCGUUUUUAUAAGUCAAGUUUAUUGUGGCUUCGUUUACGAUGUUCCUUUCAUCAACCAUGUGAACCGAUGUACCGUGGGCUCAUACGAAAGGUGCCAGAGAAGAGAUAGUUUAGUCUACAGAAGUCGAAGCCACAAAACUGAGAACUCUAGGAAUCGCCCUUUUCCUUAAGAGUACUUACACCUUUAAAGUAGUUGGAGGAACCUGUACGAACCGUUAAUAAACUUCUCCUUUCGACCCAGCUAGAGUAACUAUGCCGUAACGAAGGGUUGCCAGUAAGCCUUCUUUACUACUCCACGUAAUUGUAACGUAACAAUACACAUGUUCUCUCACGUUAACUAGCUGGUUGGUACAACCUACAACAGCGUUACGAUUCGUCGUUCUGGUACUAGCAUCUAUUCGGAUUCGUGGGCCGUAUAAAGUGCCCCCUGUUUCUUCGUGGGUGAUGUUUAGUCAGCACAUCACAAUUACUAUAUUGAUAUAGAUGUGAUUGGGGAUCUAUCAAAAGAAAACAUAGUCGCAACAUACUCGAAUCUACCACACAUCACGUAUCCGAACUUCAUAAUAUACUUCAUGUACUGGAAGAGCUAUAAUAUCUACAUGGUAUAAAACAUACUACC
rnacentral:rRNA from 1 species